GAUGAACGCUAGCUACAGGCUUAACACAUGCAAGUCGAGGGGAAACGGCAUUAAGUGCUUGCACUUUUUGGACGUCGACCGGCGCACGGGUGAGUAACGCGUAUCCAACCUUCCCAUGACUAAGGGAUAACCUGCCGAAAGGCAGACUAAUACCUUAUGGUCUUCACUGACGGCAUCAGAUGUGAAGUAAAGAUUUAUCGGUUAUGGAUGGGGAUGCGUCUGAUUAGUUAGUUGGCGGGGUAACGGCCCACCAAGGCAACGAUCAGUAGGGGUUCUGAGAGGAAGGUCCCCCACAUUGGAACUGAGACACGGUCCAAACUCCUACGGGAGGCAGCAGUGAGGAAUAUUGGUCAAUGGGCGAGAGCCUGAACCAGCCAAGUAGCGUGCAGGACGACGGCCCUAUGGGUUGUAAACUGCUUUUGUAUGGGGAUAAAGUCAAUCACGUGUGAUUGUUUGCAGGUACCAUACGAAUAAGGACCGGCUAAUUCCGUGCCAGCAGCCGCGGUAAUACGGAAGGUCCGGGCGUUAUCCGGAUUUAUUGGGUUUAAAGGGAGCGUAGGCUGGAGAUUAAGUGUGUUGUGAAAUGUAGACGCUCAACGUCUGACUUGCAGCGCAUACUGGUUUCCUUGAGUACGCACAACGUUGGCGGAAUUCGUCGUGUAGCGGUGAAAUGCUUAGAUAUGACGAAGAACUCCGAUUGCGAAGGCAGCUGACGGGAGCGCAACUGACGCUGAAGCUCGAAGGUGCGGGUAUCGAACAGG
rnacentral:rRNA from 1 species